rnacentral:rRNA from 1 species
GCUUGUCUCAAAGAUUAAGCCAUGCAUGUCUAAGUGUAAAUAAGUCUAUACUGUGAAACUGCGAAUGGCUCAUUAAAUCAGUUAUCGUUUAUUUGAUGAUCUCUUACUACUUGGAUAACCGUAGUAAUUCUAGAGCUAAUACAUGCGACAACCCCUGACUGCUUGCAGAAAGGGCGUAUUUAUUAGAUACAACCAACCCUUCGGGUCCCUGGUGAAUCAUAAUAACUUAGCGAACCGCAUGCUUCGGCGGCGGUGAUUCAUUCAAGUUUCUGCCCUAUCAGCUUUCGAUGGUAGGGUAUUGGCCUACCAUGGCGGUGAC